GAUGAACGCUGGCGGCGUGCCUAAUACAUGCAAGUCGAGCGAAUGGAUUAAGAGCUUGCUCUUAUGAAGUUAGCGGCGGACGGGUGAGUAACACGUGGGCAACCUGCCCAUAAGACUGGGAUAACUCCGGGAAACCGGGGCUAAUACCGGAUAACAUGUUGAACCGCAUGGUUAGAAAUUGAAAGGUGGCUUAGGCUGUGACUGAGGGAUGGACCCGCGUCGCAGUAGCAAGUUGGUGAGGUAACGGCUCACCACGGCAACGAUGCGUAGCCGACCUGAGAGGGUGAUCGGCCACACUGGGACUGAGACACGGCCCAGACUCCUACGGGAGGCAGCAGUAGGGAAUCUUCCGCAAUGGACGAAAGUCUGACGGAGCAACGCCGCGUGAGUGAUGAAGGCUUUCGUGUCGUAAAACUCUGUUGUUAGGGAAGAACAAGUGCUAGUUGAAUAAGCUGGCACCCUGACGGUACCUAACCAGAAAGCCACGGCUAACUACGUGCCAGCCGCCGCCGUAA
rnacentral:rRNA from 1 species